rnacentral:snRNA from 1 species
AGCUUUGCGCAGUAGCAGUAUCGUAGCCAAUGAGGUUUAUCCGAGGUGCGAUUAUUGCUAGUUGAAAACUUUUCCCAAUACCCCGCCGUGAUAACUUGAAAUACAGUUGUCAUUGGCAAUUUUUGACAGUCUUUAUGAAGA